ACACCCUCACCUCUCUUUGGUCAUUGACUAUUAAGAUUAUGUUUCCAGAUAUGGUUUCCUUUCCAGAUGAAGAGUGUCUUCUUCCCAUUUCUCUCACCUCCAGUACAAUCAAUGGAAUGGAAUCCCUAGCCUCCUUGGCUCUCCGAAACCUCAUCUCUCUUCAAGUCCUAGAGAUAUCAAAUUGCUCUAACCUCCGCUCUUUAGCGUCGUUGCCUGCAACACUUGAAAGACUUCAAAUCCAGAAUUCUCCUAUACUAAAAGAAAGGUGCUCAAAGGAGAAAGGAGAAUAUUGGCCCAACAUCGCCCACAUCCCCAGCAUUCGGAUAGUUGGAGAAUAGAUAUUGAGGCAGAAACUUGUAGGUGGAGGCAUUACGUUUCAUCCAUUCUUACAUUCAGUCAGUUUGAUCUUAAGAAGAUUGGAGUAGGCAGGAGUGAAAACCUUCUGGUUGACUUUGGAUUUGAACUACAAUAUCUCAAGGAAGGUGCCUAUACAUAGGUGGAAUCAAAAGCUUUUCAAUAAUAAGUUUGCGGUCUAUUGAGAUCAAUGAUGCGGAAAGUAUCCCCUGCUUUUAGAUAGAUGGGGAAUAUAUGCAUUGAAGUAUAAUAACUAGAAAUAGAAAUGCAGUUUGUGGGUACUAGAAAGGAAAUGGAAGCAGAAAACCAUUCAACCUCCAAUCCUUGCAGUUUGAUCUAAAGAAGGUUGGGGUGGGUAGGAACAAAAACCUUCUGGUUAACUUUGGAUUUGAAGUGCAGUAUCUCAAGAAACGUGUGAGAAUCUGAAAACGCCCAUAUCUGACUGGGGCCUCCACUCCCUCACCUCUCUUUCCAAAUUGAUUAUUGAGGAUAUCUUUCCAGGUUGAUCCUUGCAUGUUUAGGUCCUGUAAUUUCUGGAAGGGGGAUUUGGCCCCAUGGUAGCUUCAGUUUGGGUUCAAUUCUUAAGAGCUUGAUGCACAUGUUUCUGAGUAGCACUGGUCCACUAGGCCUUUACAGAUGAUGAAAUCAUGCUGCCUGUCCUCUAACUUGAAGAAGGGUUGCAUGUGACACCCAAUGCUGGAAAUCCAGAUCAAUUUUCCUGUCCUAAGACAAAGUUGCUUAAAGGAGAAAGGAGGAAGUUUGGCUCAGGGUUGCCUACAUCUCUGACAUUCAACAACAUGACUUCAUUGGAAAAUAUGAAUUUAUAUUGAAUUGUGUUUUGCCCACUCUGGAAGUUGAGAGGGAGAUCACUCCUCGUUCCUUCAGCCAGGAGGGGGGGAAAAACAAUGCAGAUGCAAAUUUAAUUCCUAACAUAAGUAUGGUGGUAUGUUAUUGACCUCAAUCAUAAUUGAUGAUUUUCCUUUUUGAUUAUUGAGUAAACUUGACAGGUUCUAUGUAAGUUAUAAUUUUCAUGCCAUUGUAUUUCUACCACCAACACAACUAUUUCUUAAUAAUAAUUUCAAUGAGCACUUUUUAAAAGUUUUUGUCCUUGUUAUAUGGAUGCAUGGGGUACUUGAUUCAUAUUAGUAUCAAGAUAGACCCAUUAUAGUUCAUUGUUUGUGUAUAUAACUGUGUUGAUAUAGGGCAUUUCACAUUGCGGGCAAUAGCAUCCCUCUUACAACUCUAAUUGGGCUUUAUUACAUUUGUGAUACUUGGGUUAGGUAAAUUCUAUUCUGCUGGCCUAACUCUCUUUUCCUUUAUCCUUUCUUUUUUUUAAUACUUCCUGAAUGUAAGCUGGUAGGUGGUGGAAGCAUGAUGGCCCAUUUAAAAUGGAUGGGCUUGAGAAUGUGCCAUACAAUGAUUUCUCUGCUAGUUGAUGGCAUAAAAAUGAGAGGAAUUUUGAGACUUAUGGCUCUCUAAGAAGAACUCAACUCAAUGAAUGUCUGUGUGCUUUUUCAGUUUUAGUGGCUCAAGCAAAAUCAGCUGUCUCUGAUUUUGGAACUUGACGUAUAUAAUGAUUUGUUAUCAGGUUGGCUCCUAAGGAUGAUGACUGAGAGCCGGAAGGCAUAUGGAGAGCAGUUCUAUUCUAGUCUAGCAUUUAGGGGGAAAGGGGGCAAAGAUGGAGCAUAUGUUCCUUAACCAAUUAUUUUGCUGGGAAAACAUGACAAAGAGGGUCUUUGCUGUGGCUUUCCUUUAUGAAAUGUAUUGCAUGUGCAGUAUAUUUUCUUCCUUUAGCAGUUAUCUUUUCUUUGUUCUUUCAGAGAUCCACAUAUACAUGAGAUCUACUUUAUUUGGGGUAGCCUACUUUUGUUUUGAUGGUUUCAAAAAGAAGAUAAAGACAUGAAAUAGACAGGUUAUUACUCAUCUAAGAAAGCAGUGUGAUUAUGAUUGCACAAUUUACAUUGGAUGCAUAGCCCCUGUUUGUGAAGGUUUAAGCUUAUUUUUAAAUUAUGAUCAUAAUAUCAUCGAACACUCAUUCAAAGUUCACGAUGCUUGUGAACAAUUGUUGAUCACAGUAGCAAGAUGUCUCCAUUACAGUUACAUGGUUCCUUCUUUUGUUAUGGAUGUACUUGAUUUUCACAUUGGCAUUCAUUUCUAAAAUUUUUUAAUUUUCAGAGGAUUCAUGUCUAGAUGGGUUUUGCAGGGGAUCAAUUUCUGCAACAAUGUGAGUCAUGCCCCUCCCCUCCAAGAAGCUCACUUGGGCAUAUCGUAUUCUUGAGUUCGCAUGUUAAGAAAGGUAGGGAAAAGUAUCGCCCCCUACCUAAAAUCAUCUCAAAACUAUAUAACUCUCACUCUUCUUCUGUGCUAACACUUACUUUUUGUUGUUUUGGUUUUGAAUUGUCUGUAAGUCAACAUGGUUGGUUCUCUAAGCCUGUUGGAUACUUAUAAGUUGACGGGAUUGGAGAAUAGGCCUUAUGAUAACUCCUUUGUAGUCUUCCAUGGAAGACAAAGAAUCUCAAGUCUGCAUAUUGAUUUGUUCAUCUGUUGUUGUUGCCCAUUGGCCUGGACUUGGGGAUGCAUGAAAAGGGAAUAUGUUUCUUGGAGGCCUCUCAACAUAUUUCAUGGUAACUGAAGACAUGAUUGUGAAAUUACCAAAUAUUAUCACCAAACAAGCCACCAUUUUGGUAAAAAUGUAGAGAAAAUACAAGAAACUCUUGGGAUCUUGUUAGAGACUUCAACUUGGCAUUGAAACUUUAGGUUUUUGAA